rnacentral:rRNA from 1 species
GGGUUGUGAGGUUAAGCGACUAAGCGUACACGGUGGAUGCCCUGGCAGUCAGAGGCGAUGAAGGGCGUGCUAAUCUGCGAUAAGCGCCGGUAAGGUGAUAUGAACCGUUAUAACCGGCGAUACCCGAAUGGGGAAACCCAGUGUGAUUCGUCACACUAUCAUUAACUGAAUCCAUAGGUUAAUGAGGCGAACCGGGGGAACUGAAACAUCUAAGUACCCCGAGGAAAAGAAAUCAACCGAGAUUCCCCCAGUAGCGGCGAGCGAACGGGGAGGAGCCCAGAGCCUGAAUCAGCAUGUGUGUUAGUGGAAGCGUCUGGAAAGGCGCGCGAUACAGGGUGACAGCCCCGUACACAAAAGCGCAUGUGCUGUGAGCUCGAUGAGUAGGGCGGGACACGUGGUAUCCUGUCUGAAUAUGGGGGGACCAUCCUCCAAGGCUAAAUACUCCUGACUGACCGAUAGUGAACCAGUACCGUGAGGGAAAGGCGAAAAGAACCCCGGCGAGGGGAGUGAAAAAGAACCUGAAACCGUGUACGUACAAGCAGUGGGAGCACCCUUUGGGGUGUGACUGCGUACCUUUUGUAUAAUGGGUCAGCGACUUAUAUUCUGUAGCAAGGUUAACCGAAUAGGGGAGCCGGAGGGAAACCGAGUCUUAAUUGGGCGUUAAGUUGCAGGGUAUAGACCCGAAACCCGGUGAUCUAGCCAUGGGCAGGUUGAAGGUUGGGUAACACUAACUGGAGGACCGAACCGACUAAUGUUGAAAAAUUAGCGGAUGACCUGUGGCUGGGGGUGAAAGGCCAAUCAAA